rnacentral:rRNA from 1 species
UACGGGGGGGGCAAGCGUUGUUCGGAAUUACUGGGCGUAAAGGGCUCGUAGGCGGCCAACUAAGUCAGACGUGAAAUCCCUCGGCUUAACCGGGGAAUGGCGUCUGAUACUGGAUGGCUCGAGUUUGGGAGAGGGAUGCGGAAUUCCAGGUGUAGCGGUGAAAUGCUUAGAUAUGACAUAGAACACCAAUUGCGAAGGCAGCUUACUACACAGUAAUUGACACUGAGGCACGAAAGCGUGGGGAUCAAACAGG